UUUUCCAACACACGUUACUGCAUACUUG
rnacentral:sRNA from 1 species